GUGGGGAAUAUUGCACAAUGGGCGGAAGCCUGAUGCAGCGACGCCGCGUGGGGGAUGACGGCCUUCGGGUUGUAAACUCCUUUCACCAUCGACGAAGGGUUUCUGACGGUAGAUGGAGAAGAAGCACCGGCUAACUACGUGCCAGCAGCCGCGGUAAUACGUAGGGUGCGAGCGUUGUCCGGAAUUACUGGGCGUAAAGAGCUCGUAGGUGGUUUGUCGCGUCGUCUGUGAAAUUCCGGGGCUUAACUCCGGGCGUGCAGGCGAUACGGGCAUAACUUGAGUACUGUAGGGGAGACUGGAAUUCCUGGUGUAGCGGUGAAAUGCGCAGAUAUCAGGAGGAACACCGGUGGCGAAGGCGGGUCUCUGGGCAGUAACUGACGCUGAGGAGCGAAAGCAUGGGGAGCGAACAGGA
rnacentral:rRNA from 1 species